AGUUGGGGCAGGGGCGGGGCCCCAUGGAGUGUCCUCCUUUUUUUAAAUUAAAAUAUGGUAACCCUAGUUUCAGGGGAUUAACAGCUGAGAUGUAUGAGCCCGUUCCUGCCUGCUCUUCGGCUCCGCCCUGUUCUGUUCCUCACCUGGACUCUCCCAUUUGUGUUAUCGUAGCGCCCAGCAGCCCCAGCAGAGAGCAGGACUCCAUUGUGCUAGGCGCUGUACAAACUCAGAACAGAAAGAUGAUCCUGGCCUUAAAGAACGUACGUUCUUAAUGGAGCUGGGGCUUUAAGAAAUACAGCAAAAUACGAGACUUGCAGUAAAAUUGUGACAGUUGGCAACUCUGCACUCGAUUCUCAAUGUAAAAAAAUAGAGUUUUUGGUUACAUAUGCUGUUCUUCAUGUCCAAGGUGCCACAUACUAUAUUGCUCAGACAAUACGUCCUUCGACUUCCAAGAGUGUUGGCUUUGGCUCAAAGUAUCUGAAAUUGCUUUAUGAAGUUAGAUAUUGGUAGCGGAGUGACUUACAUCAAUGCAUCAGCCCUUAAGCUCUCAGUAGUGAAGCUGACAUGCACAGCCGGGAAGGAGAUGUAGACUGGGAUGCUGGGUUCCCCCAUUACGUUUUGUAAAAAGCCUGCCGCCGAGGUACAACAGAAAUCAAUAACUGAAGUUUAUGUGGAACCUAAGCAAAGACAAUAAGACGCAUGGGUGCCCAUCUCCUAGGCAGCAGCGGUCUAUCAAAUGCUCUUCUUUGGGUUAUGUUAACAGAGUUAAAAGUGGUGGUGCACCCAGUGAGGAAAUAAACUACACUGAGGAAAUAAACUACAGGAAAUAAACUACAGUAACUGACAAAAUAAACUACAGGAAAUAAACUACAGUAACUGACAAAAUCAUUGCCAAUCUGCGGAGCCAUCUAGUCAGAGAUCCCCUUUAAUAAAUAAGUGCUCAAACAAACUUGGCGCCACCAUCCACUCAAUGCCAACCAGGCAGAACUGUGCCAGGUUGGGAUCUUUUUAAUUACAGAGAGCCAUCAUAUCUGCAGAAUUUCCCUGCCUUUUACAGGAAGUGCCUUAAAACCCCCCCAGACUUUCACCGUUGCUCAAAACCAUGACGAAUAUAAACUGGACUGUGAAGUGCCGGAGUUGUUAUGGCCAAGCAACUGGCAGUAGCUCCCUGCUGUAACAGUGCCGAGAAGCAGAGCAGCUCUGCGCUACAGAAGUGCCUGCGGGGCAGGAAUUUUCUGUUAACGUGAUGUCCACCACCAUGAAAUCCGGAGUAUUUCACUCAGCAGAGCGAGAACAGCCUGGUUUUUAAAACACAUUACCGUUCUAAGUGAUUUAGGAUGAAAAGAGCAUAUGCUGUGGAUUUUGUGAUGAACUCUGUCAUUCAAAGAUUGGCUCUGAAGCUGGAACUCACACCUUUAAAGUGACGUGGUGGCAGUGAACGCUUAAUAAACCAUACUUAUUUGGUACAACA